CGGGUUUUGUGAACACGUGUCAUUAUCUCAUCCCUUUCUCUCUCUACCAAAGCAUUCUCUCUCUUUCUUUUGUGUCUCCUCGGCGACUCCGACUCCAUCUGCUGAUCUCUCCUCCACGAUGACCCAUCAGCGACGACUCUGACUCCAUCAACCGGCGACUCCGACGAUGACCUCUCCGCGACGACUCCGACGCCAUCAGCCGACUCAGAGACUCACUUCUCGUCAACCUCACGUUUUCCUCCGCCGCGUCUUCUUCGCACACAGAUUAAAACGAGGCUAGCAGCCGAUAAAAGAGAAAGAAGUUAAAGAGAAAAAGGAGAAGAACGUGAGAUGGAGAAAGGUGAACUAGAGAAGAAGGAAACAAAGGUGGAGAAGAAGUACACAGUUUGAGAUGGGGUUUCGAAAAAGAGAUCCGGAUCAGAUAUGAGUUUGGGAGAUCACAUAUGGAGUUUCUCUUAAUAGAGGACGUGGCAGGGAAGCCAUAGAAACUGACGUCUCUGUCAUUGGAGUAACGACUUCGUUGUGGUGUGCCUUGCUUCCUACGCAAGCAUCAGAAGUAGCAGCUCAAAUCUGGGAGGUUCAACUGUUCUGUUGCAGCAAAUUCAAGAGAGCGUGGGAGGUUCAUUUGUAUGCUGAUCUGACUGAAACUUUGUACAGAUGUAGGGGACACUGCAGACUCAGAAUUCAACGGUGUGAUCGAAAAGUGGACGGUUAGUUUAUUAGUUAUUCAUGUAUUUCUGAACAGGUUUGGUACAUUGUGAAACAGAGUGGUAUGUUGAUGGAUCGUCUUGUUUGGUUGGGAAAAUGAGCUCGGACUGAGCUCAUAUUUGGCAGGAACCUUAUGGACUCGUGGCUUAGAUCUGAUUGUUAGUUAGGAAUUCUAUGAUUAUAUGGUGAAGGUUGCAAAGUGUGUUACACUUAAUAAGGUUAACUUUACUUGCUAUCUCCUUGGAUUUGUUAUUAGUGAAAUUGUUAUAGGGAACAUUGUUUUGAAGAUGGUUAAGCUUUCUUAUUUGUUUGUCCAGUUU